rnacentral:lncRNA from 1 species
AUAUAUAUAUAUAUAUAUAUAUAUAUAUAUAUCUAAUUUCUCCUAGCUAACCAAUCAAAAGCUGUAACAAAGGAAAAUUAAUCAACAAAAUUUCAUCUUGAGAAGUGCAGCACUCUUUGAUCAACUAAACCAAACCAGCACUUUGUGCAUAAUCCCGAAUGAAUUAUCGAACCGGAGGCCGAUAGAUACAGUAGCUGAAUUGUGAAUUGUUUGCAAACCAAUUUGAAAAAAUCGACGCAAAAUGGAAAUUUCCAGCUUAUGAUUCUGGAAACCCAAGUGCGGGCCGGGUUCGGGCUUUUAAUUUUUAAACGAAUUAAUGUUGUUUUGCCAGUACAGUACUCUGGUUUGCUUACCAUAUAUAUUUCUUGAAACGAAAAUCAAUUUUGUCGAUUUAAUUUUGUUUGGUGCAAAUUAGAUCACUAAGUACAUAUAUUGAAAAUCAAUGGUAUAUUAAAAUUCAUAAACCGAACCAACAAAAUACAAAUAUCAAACGAUAGAUCUAUUUGUGAUCGAUGGUUUCUUGUUCAGAAAAAGAAAAAAAAAUUGAAAAUCAAACUAUGCUGUUAUGGGGUUUCAUCAGUGCCCCUCUUGUAAAAGGCAACUUCGUCUGCCGACCACCCCUCUAUAUAUAUCUUGUAAUAAAAAAAUUAAGAAAGAAGAAAUUAAUUAAAAAAUAAUGUACAGCUGUAAACUCACUUCCUGAAUACUUUUGCUCAUU